rnacentral:rRNA from 1 species
GACGAACGCUGGCGGCGUGCUUAACACAUGCAAGUCGAACGGAAAGGCCCUGCUUUUGUGGGGUGCUCGAGUGGCGAACGGGUGAGUAACACGUGAGUAACCUGCCCUUGACUUUGGGAUAACUUCAGGAAACUGGGGCUAAUACCGGAUAGGAGCUCCUGCUGCAUGGUGGGGGUUGGAAAGUUUCGGCGGUUGGGGAUGGACUCGCGGCUUAUCAGCUUGUUGGUGGGGUAGUGGCUUACCAAGGCUUUGACGGGUAGCCGGCCUGAAAGGGUGACCGGCGACAUUGGGACAGAGAUACGGCGCAGACUCCUACGGGAGGCAGCAGUGGGGAAUAUUGCACAAUGGGCGGAAGCCUGAUGCAGCAACGCCGCGUGCGGGAUGACGGCCUUCGGGUUGUAAACCGCUUUCGCCUGUGACGAAGCGUGAGUGACGGUAAUGGGUAAAGAAGCACCGGCUAACUACGUG